CCACAUCUCAUCCCCGAGCUUCAGCUGCAGGACAAUGCUGCCAGAGGCCUGGUCCUCAGAGCUCACGUAAGCAUCUCUGGUGUGCAGUAUUUUUACUCCGUUUUUGACCAAAGACACCUGAACAUUCCUGGAGAAAACAGUGAUGUGGAUCUUAUCAAAUUUAAUGGGCACAUCUGAAGAAGGAAACUUGCUCAGCACCGUGAGCCCCACAGUGAAAGCACUUUUUGGCAAGACUAGAGUCUCACCGAUUUUCCCUUUCUCUCCUCGAUCUCCUUUCCAGCCUCUUAUUCCCCGGACUCCUGGCUCACCCUGGGGCCCCGUGGGUCCAGCUUCUCCCUUGGGACCAGGCUUUCCAAUAGGGCCCAUGGGGCCCGGUAAACCAGUUGGGCCCAAAGGCCCAAUGUUGCCCCUUGGCCCCUCAGGACCAGUGGGACCCACGUCACCCUUAUUCCCCUUCUGCCCCUGAGGCCCAGUCUCUCCUCGGAGGCCUUUCUCUCCCAUGGGCCCUGCAAGCCCCUUGGGGCCAUGUUUUCCUGGGGAUC
rnacentral:lncRNA from 1 species